rnacentral:lncRNA from 1 species
AGGCACACCAGCUGCAGGGUUAUGCCUGAUUCCUGCACAGGUCAUUUAUUUGUUGGCAUUAGCAAGAUUUGAAUUAGACACUGAACUAGAUGAAGACUCAGAUUGUUUGUGAUAACUGUCAACAGUAGCUGCAAGAAGAUGCCAACAGCUGUCAUAAGAAGUGGAGCAGCACUGGAGUUCAGCACUGAACUAAGGUCGGCCCCGCCCUCCGGCACAGCCUGCACCAGCUCAAUGGCAUGAAUCAGCCAGGUGUCCUGGAGGGCCUGAGAGGGACCAUGGUGAUGAUGAGAUCGGGAGAAGAAAGUCAGAUUGGAGCAUACUCGCCCCAUGGAGAGGACAAAUUGGAUUCAUGACCAGACCUCCGAGAGGCUGCGUCUCCAGGCAGCUGGUGGGGAGCUGUCUGGAAACAAACACAUUUUCCAGCUCGCUCGACCCUCACAUUUCCAGAGCAGAAGGAUGGCUAUGAUGUGAGCUCAGAUUAUGUGCAGUGGUUGCUUAAAACUUGGUGGGUCCAAUGGAGAUGGAGCCAUGUCAUCCUGUUCGUCACCUUCAGGGUGUCCCGCAGCACAGUGUGGUGCGCGCACCUGUCUGCGUUCACCGUAAGUCAUCGCUGCACCUGCAUCCUGUGGCCUUUAUGCGAUAGUGAUCAUAAUGCACCAUCGUGGCCCACUGGUUUCACACUCCUUGAAUCGGUAUUCAGCUCCAAUUUUUGUUCUGUUUAACUGAAAGGACUGCAUGGUUCACAGAGACCUGGAAGUACAACCAUUAGAAUUAAAUUACCACGCAAGAGCGCCCUGAUGAUCUUCACAAAGACGCAGAACCCACGUGCUUUUGGAGUUGUUUUAGCACCCCGUUUGGAGCCAACCAGUCUCACAGCUCCCAUGAUGGCACCAGCUUUUUUUACACCUCUUAAAGUAGCAACAUGAGUUUUGUCUUCCGAAGGGUAAUUCUGAUUUCUUACAAAG